rnacentral:rRNA from 1 species
AUUGAACGCUGGCGGCAGGCCUAACACAUGCAAGUCGAACGAGUGGCGGACGGGUGAGUAAUGUCUGGGAAACUGCCCGAUGGAGGGGGAUAACUACUGGAAACGGUAGCUAAUACCGCAUACUAUCGGUUGUGCCCAGAUGGGAUUAGCUAGUAGGUGGGGUAAAGGCUCACCUAGGCGACGAUCCCUAGCUGGGCUGAGAGGAUGACCGGCCACACUGGAAGUGAGAAACGGACCAGACUCCUACGUGGGGCAGCAUUGGGAAAUAUUGCACAAGGGGCGCACGCCGAAUGCGGACAUGCGGGGUGUAUAAAGAAGGCCUUGGGGUUGUAAAGUACGUUCAGCGGGGAGGCGUUACCCGCAGAAGAAGCACCGGCUAACUCCGUGCCAGCAGCCGCGGUAAUAC